CUCAGAUUGAACGCUGGCGGCAGGCCUAACACAUGCAAGUCGAGCGGUAGCACAGAGAGCUUGCUCUCGGGUGACGAGCGGCGGACGGGUGAGUAAUGUCUGGGAAACUGCCUGAUGGAGGGGGAUAACUACUGGAAACGGUAGCUAAUACCGCAUAACGUCGCAAGACCAAAGUGGGGGACCUUCGGGCCUCAUGCCAUCAGAUGUGCCCAGAUGGGAUUAGCUAGUAGGUGGGGUAACGGCUCACCUAGGCGACGAUCCCUAGCUGGUCUGAGAGGAUGACCAGCCACACUGGAACUGAGACACGGUCCAGACUCCUACGGGAGGCAGCAGUGGGGAAUAUUGCACAAUGGGCGCAAGCCUGAUGCAGCCAUGCCGCGUGUGUGAAGAAGGCCUUCGGGUUGUAAAGCACUUUCAGCGGGGAGGAAGGCGUUAAGGUUAAUAACCUUGGCGAUUGACGUUACCCGCAGAAGAAGCACCGGCUAACUCCGUGCCAGCAGCCGCGGUAAUACGGAGGGUGCAAGCGUUAAUCGGAAUUACUGGGCGUAAAGCGCACGCAGGCGGUCUGUCAAGUCGGAUGUGAAAUCCCCGGGCUCAACCUGGGAACUGCAUUCGAAACUGGCAGGCUAGAGUCUUGUAGAGGGGGGUAGAAUUCCAGGUGUAGCGGUGAAAUGCGUAGAGAUCUGGAGGAAUACCGGUGGCGAAGGCGGCCCCCUGGACAAAGACUGACGCUCAGGUGCGAAAGCGUGGGGAGCAAACAGGAUUAGAUACCCUGGUAGUCCACGCCGUAAACGAUGUCGAUUUGGAGGUUGUGCCCUUGAGGCGUGGCUUCCGGAGCUAACGCGUUAAAUCGACCGCCUGGGGAGUACGGCCGCAAGGUUAAAACUCAAAUGAAUUGACGGGGGCCCGCACAAGCGGUGGAGCAUGUGGUUUAAUUCGAUGCAACGCGAAGAACCUUACCUGGUCUUGACAUCCACAGAACUUUCCAGAGAUGGAUUGGUGCCUUCGGGAACUGUGAGACAGGUGCUGCAUGGCUGUCGUCAGCUCGUGUUGUGAAAUGUUGGGUUAAGUCCCGCAACGAGCGCAACCCUUAUCCUUUGUUGCCAGCGGUUCGGCCGGGAACUCAAAGGAGACUGCCAGUGAUAAACUGGAGGAAGGUGGGGAUGACGUCAAGUCAUCAUGGCCCUUACGACCAGGGCUACACACGUGCUACAAUGGCAUAUACAAAGAGAAGCGACCUCGCGAGAGCAAGCGGACCUCAUAAAGUAUGUCGUAGUCCGGAUUGGAGUCUGCAACUCGACUCCAUGAAGUCGGAAUCGCUAGUAAUCGUAGAUCAGAAUGCUACGGUGAAUACGUUCCCGGGCCUUGUACACACCGCCCGUCACACCAUGGGAGUGGGUUGCAAAAGAAGUAGGUAGCUUAACCUUCGGGAGGGCGCUUACCACUUUGUGAUUCAUGAC
rnacentral:rRNA from 1 species